UGCCUAGCUCUGCCACUCUCCGAAGCCGUUCGCACACACCGCUUGGCAGAGGCGGGGGAACCACUUCUGGUCCUCUUCAGGGAGGGCCUUGGGGUUAAGCAGCCCGGCGCGAGCCGGGAGGCCGGAUACUUCCAAUCCGAACCCGACAGCUCACCUCGUAGGCACUGGGAGAGGCUAC
rnacentral:sRNA from 2 species